UACGUAGGGUGCGAGCGUUGUCCGGAAUUACUGGGCGUAAAGAGCUCGUAGGUGGUUUGUCGCGUUGUUCGUGAAAACUCACAACUCAAUUGUGGGCGUGCGGGCGUUACGGGCAGACUGGAGUACUGCAGGGGAGACUGGAAUUCCUGGUGUAGCGGUGGAAUGCGCAGAUAUCAGGAGGAACACCGGUGGCGAAGGCGGGUCUCUGGGCAGUAACUGACGCUGAGGAGCGAAAGCGUGGGGAGCGAACAGG
rnacentral:rRNA from 1 species